UACGGAGGGUGCAAGCGUUAUCCGGAUUCACUGGGUUUAAAGGGUGCGUAGGUGGGUUUGUAAGCCAGAUGUGAAAUCCCCGGGCUUAACCUGGGAAUGGCAUUUGGGACUGCAAGGCUGGAGUGCGGCAGAGGAGACUGGAAUUCCUGGUGUAGCAGUGAAAUGCGUAGAUAUCAGGAGGAACACCGAUGGCGAAGGCAGGUCUCUGGGCUGACACUGACGCUCAUGCACGAAAGCGUGGGGAGCAAACAGG
rnacentral:rRNA from 1 species